rnacentral:rRNA from 1 species
AUUGAACGCUGGCGGCAGGCCUAACACAUGCAAGUCGAACGAGUGGCGGACGGGUGAGUAAUGUCUGGGAAACUGCCUGAUGGCGGGGGAUAACUACUGGAAACGGUAGCUAAUACCGCAUACCAUCGGAUGUGCCCAGAUGGGAUUAGCCAGUAGGUGGGGUAAAGGCUCACCUAGGCGACGAUCCCUAGCUGGUCUGAGAGGAUGACCGGCCACACUGGAACUGAGACACGGUCCAGACUCCUACGGGAGGCAGCAGUGGGGAAUAUUGCGCAAUGGGCGCAAGCCUGAUGCAGCAAUGCCGCGUGAAUGAAGAAGGCCUUCGGGUUGUAAAGCACUUUCAGCAGGGAGGCGGUACCCGAAGAGGAAGCACCGGCUAACUCCGUGCCAGCAGCCGCGGUAAUAC